rnacentral:rRNA from 1 species
AUUGAACGCUGGCGGCAGGCCUAACACAUGCAAGUCGAACGAGUGGCGGACGGGUGAGUAAUGUCUGGGAAACUGCCUGAUGGAGGGGGAUAAAUACUGGAAACGGUAGCUAAUACCGCAUACCAACGGAUGUGCACAGAUGGGAUUAGCUAGUGGGUGGGGUAAAGGCUCACCGAGGCGACGAUCCCUAGCUGGUCUGAGAGGAUGACCAGCCACACUGGCACGGAGACACGGUCCAGACUCCUACGGGAGGCAGCAGUUGGGAAUAUUGCACAAUGUGCGCAAGCCUGAUGCAGCCAUGCCGCGUGUAUGAAGAAGGCCUUCGGGUUGUAAAGUUCUUUCAGCGGGGAGGCGUUACCCGCAGAAGAAGCACCGGCUAACUCCGUGCCAGCCGCCGCGGUAAUAC